rnacentral:rRNA from 1 species
UACGUAGGGGGCAAGCGUUGUCCGGAAUUACUGGGCGUAAAGGGCGCGUAGGCGGCACGGCAAGUCAGGAGUGAAAGCCCUGGGCUCAACCCGGGAACUGCUUUUGAAACUGCCGAGCUAGAGUGCGGAAGGGGCAACUGGAAUUCCCAGUGUAGCGGUGAAAUGCGUAGAUAUUGGGAAGAACACCUGAGGCGAAGGCGGGUUGCUGGGCCGACACUGACGCUGAGGCGCGAAAGCCAGGGGAGCGAACGGG